rnacentral:tRNA from 1 species
UCUAAUAUGGCAGAAAUAAUGCAUUGAAUUUAAGCUUCAAAUAUAAAGAAUUACUUUUAUUAGAA